CAGUCGCCGCGGUAAUGCGUAGGGUGCGAGCGUUAAUCGGAAUUACUGGGCGUAAAGCGUGCGCAGGCGGUUGUGUAAGACAGGUGUGAAAUCCCCGGGCUUAACCUGGGAACUGCGCUUGUGACUGCACAGCUAGAGUAUGGCAGAGGGGGGUGGAAUUCCACGUGUAGCAGUGAAAUGCGUAGAGAUGUGGAGGAACACCGAUGGCGAAGGCAGCCCCCUGGGCCAAUACUGACGCUCAUGCACGAAAGCUAGGGGAGCAAAUGGGAUUAGAUACCCCCGUAGUCCCUGUCUCUUAUAC
rnacentral:rRNA from 1 species